GACUAACGCUGGCGGCGUGCCUAACACAUGCAAGUCGAACGGGGCCCUGGUUCGCCAGGGUCUAGUGGCAGACGGGUGAGUAACACGUAGGUAAUGUACCCUCUUGCUGGGGAUACCUGUCCGAAAGGAUGGUUAAUACCGAAUGAGCCACGACCGGGGCAUCCUGGUGGUGGCAAACUGGCAACGGGCGAGAGGACCAGCCUGCGGACCAUCAGCUGGUUGGUGGGGUAACGGCCUACCAAGGCGACGACGGUUAGCCGGUUUGAGAGGACGAUCGGCCACACUGGGACUGAAACACGGCCCAGACUCCUACGGGAGGCAGCAGUGAGGAAUAUUGCGCAAUGGGCGAAAGCCUGACGCAGCGACGCCGCGUGAGGGAUGAAGGCCUUCGGGUCGUAAACCUCUGUCAGUGGGGAAGAGAACGGACGGUACCCACUGAGGAAGCAUCGGCUUACUACGUGCCAGCAGCCGCGGUAAUACGUAGGAUGCAAGCGUUGUCCGGAUUUACUGGGCGUAAAGAGCUCGUAGGCGGGGACGCGCGUCUCGGAGGAAAUUCCAGGGCUCAACCCUGGAGCUUUCCGAGAUACGGCGUCUCUUGAGGGCAGAAGAGGAGAACAGAAUUCCCGGUGUAGCGGUGAAAUGCGUAGAUAUCGGGAGGAAUACCAGUGGCGAAGGCGGUUCGCUGGUCUGUCUCUGACGCUGAGGAGCGAAAGCGUGGGUAGCGAACG
rnacentral:rRNA from 1 species